AUUGAACGCUGGCGGCAGGCCUAACACAUGCAAGUCGAGCGGUAGAGAGGUGCUUGCAUCUCUUGAGAGCGGCGGACGGGUGAGUAAUGCCUAGGAAUCCUGCCUAGUGGUGGGGGAUAACGUUCGGAAACGGACGCUAAUACCGCAUACGUCCUACGGGAGAAAGCGGGGGGAUCUUCGGACCUCGCGCCAUUAGAUGAGCCUAGGUCGGAUUAGCUAGUUGGUGAGGUAAUGGCUCACCAAGGCGACGAUCCGUAACUGGUCUGAGAGGAUGAUCAGUCACACUGGAACUGAGACACGGUCCAGACUCCUACGGGAGGCAGCAGUGGGGAAUAUUGGACAAUGGGCGAAAGUCUGAUCCAGCCAUGCCGCGUGUG
rnacentral:rRNA from 1 species